CUUGGUCAUGUCAUUACAAUUCUCUUUAAACAUGUUAGUUAUUUUAGUAUUAUCAAUAUAUAUAGCACCAUUAUAUUCUGCAACACUUCACAUUUAUGGAAAGGGGAUAUUUAGACACGAAAAAGGCCCUACCCACUUUAGUCUACACUCUAUAAGGAUUUUGAGGUAGACAGAUAUAUAGUUAGGUGUCUUGUCUAGGGACACUUACGUGGAGUGUUCUCACUGGGGUUUUUAACCUGGGUUUCCCAAAUGUAAG